GCCUGGGUGGCUCAGUCAGUUGAGUGUCCGACUUCAGCUCAGGUCAUGAUCUCGCAGUUUGUGGGUUCAAGCCCUGCAUCAGGCU
rnacentral:tRNA from 1 species